CCUACGGGAGGCAGCAGUGGGGAAUAUUGGGCAAUGGGCGCAAGCCUGACCCAGCAACGCCGCGUGAAGGAAGAAGGCUUUCGGGUUGUAAACUUCUUUUUUCAGGGAAGAGUAGAAGACGGUACCUGACGAAUAAGCCACGGCUAACUACGUGCCAGCAGCCGCGGUAAUACGUAGGUGGCAAGCGUUGUCCGGAUUUACUGGGUGUAAAGGGCGUGUAGCCGGGUUGACAAGUCAGAUGUGAAAUCCUGCGGCUUAACCACAGAACUGCAUGUGAAACUGUUGAUCUUGAGUACUGGAGAGGCAGACGGAAUUCCUAGUGUAGCGGUGAAAUGCGUAGAUAUUAGGAGGAACACCAGUGGCGAAGGCGGUCUGCUGGACAGCAACUGACGGUGAGGCGCGAAAGCGUGGGGAGCAAACAGGAUUAGAUACCCUUGUAGUC
rnacentral:rRNA from 1 species